GGGGAUUUAGCUCAGUGGCAUAAGUACCUGCUUUGCAAGCAGGAGGUCGUAGUUAGAUCCCCA
rnacentral:tRNA from 1 species